AUAAGAGUGAACACCAGAGGGCGCUCUAGCUUUACGUAAUCCUCCUGGAUCGCUCGGCCUGCUCGGCGCAGGUAACGAGACGCGCAUGGCGUGCCUACUCAGCACUGAUCGCCAAGGAAGCAGCGGCACUUUGGCGAAAUUUCGGGACAUCCCGUUCUCCGCACGCUCCCUUUCUGGGCGCUUUGUUCUCAUUUACGCGGCAUUGAAAGAAUGCGUGAAAAGAAAGAAAAAGAAAGAAAGGUCAAGACCUUGGUACCCACACAGAGCUGACGUCAGAACAGGAUACCAUUAGUGACAGUGCGCCCUCUUGCCUUGGAGUCGGAUUGCUUACCUCAGUCAAGCUUGUCUGGGGACCCCUGGACACAUAUGUGUGACAAGCACAGAAAGGCCAACUAACUGGUUCCUGGGCUAUAAAUCUGAGAUCUCAUCCUGAGGUAAAAUGUCACUUGAGGCUCCAGUGACCGAGGAGAGGAGCUCAGGGAAAGAAGAUUCGACUCCCCCAUUGCAGUGGGGUGACUUUAUUUUGUUAAUGUUGUUAAACGCCAUCAUGUUUGUCAAGUAAAAGGGGUCAGCCGGCUUGGCUUGGUGCCCCAAAGUGCUGCAGAUGUACCAGCUUGCUAUUCCUCAGGUGACCACAGUAAAGGCAGGAUAGCGGUUACUAGUGUUGGCUUAAUUAUCUGUUGUUCUUUUUAUUAUCCAUUCAUUUUAAUUUAUCACCAUCUAUUCAUUUAC